rnacentral:rRNA from 1 species
GACGAACGCUGGCGGCGUGCCUAAUACAUGCAAGUAGAACGCUGAAGCGAGGCGUUUGCUCUUCUUGGGAGAGGCGCGAACGGGUGAGUAACGCGUAUGUAACCUGCCUGGUAGCGGGGGAAAACUAUUGGAAACGAUAGCUAAUACCGCAUAACAACAGUUGUUGCAUGACGGCUGGGUAAAAGAUGCCAUUGCAUCACUACCAGACGGACUUGCGUUGUAUUAGUUAGUUGGUGAGGUAACGGGUCACGAAGGCGAGGCUACGGAGCAGACCUGAGAGGGUGGGCAGCCGCACUGGGAGUGAGACACGGCACAGAGUGAUACGGGAAGCAGCAGUAGGGAAACGUGGGGAAGGGGGGGAACACUGAGCGAGAAAGGCCGCGGGAGUGAAGAAGGAUGUCGGGUCGGAGAGGUCGGUUGUAAGGGAAGAAAGGGUGUGAGAGUGGAAAGUUCACACUGUGACGGUAUCUUAUCAGGAAGGAACGGCUAACUACGUG